rnacentral:rRNA from 1 species
UCGAGAAUCUUCCUCAAUGGGCGAAAGCCUGAAGGAGCAAUGCCGCGUGCGGGAUGAAGGCCCUCGGGUUGUAAACCGCGAAAGUAAGGAGGAAGGUCCGCCGAAGAGGCGGAUUUGACCAAUUUACAGUAAGGACGGGCUAAGUUCGUGCCAGCAGCCGCGGUAAGACGAACCGUCCAAACGUUAUUCGGAAUUAUUGGGCUUAAAGGGUGCGUAGGCGGCGCUAUAAGUCAGGUGUGAAAUCCCACGGCUCAACCGUGGAACUGCGCUUGAUACUGUAGUGCUUGAGGGAGACAGAGGUAAGCGGAACUGAUGGUGGAGCGGUGAAAUGCGUUGAUAUCAUCAGGAACACCAGUGGCGAAAGCGGCUUACUGGGUCUCUUCUGACGCUGAGGCACGAAAGCUAGGGUAGCGAACGGGAUUAGAUACCCCCGUAGUCC